CACUGGACUCUUACACCGCCACCACUGCACAUCUACAGUUUAAUAUAUAAUGGCUUCUAUAUUUUGUGAUGCUAAGAUGCUGCUAUGGUAUCCCAGGUAGUGACAAAGAUGCUGCUUAAUGGCUACAGGGUGGUUUGAUGGUUGCUAGGUGGUUGCAAUGAUAUCUAAGUUGGUGUUGCCAAGUGGUUGCACAAUGGUUCUCAUGGUAUUCAAAGGUGGUUGCUUUUGUCUUGCUAUGUGGUUGUUGUGGUAUCCAAGGUGGCUUCUAAGGUGUUUCUAAGAGGGUGCUAGGGGAUUGCUGUAGUAUAUCAGGUAAUUUCUAUGAUGUUGUUUAGAGGUUGCCAGGUUGUUAUUAUGCUAGGUGUCCUAGGUGGUUGCUACAAUGCUGCAAGAUGGUUCUGAUGGUAAUGAUAGGUGGUUGCUUUUGUGUUUCUAAGUGGUUGUUGUGGUAUCCCAGGUGGCUGCUUAUUUGUUGCUAAGUGGAGGGUAGACAGUUAAUGUGGUGUCUUGGUGGUUGCUCCGUUGUUGCAAGAUGGUUCUCAUAAUAUUGAUAGGUAAUUGCUUUUGUGUUGCUAAGUGGUUGUUGUGGUAUCCCAGGUGGCUGCUUAUUUUUUGCUAAGUGGAGGGUAGGCAGUUAAUGUGGUGUCUUGGUGGUUGCUAUGAUGUUGCAAGAUGAAUCUCAUAGCAUUGAUAGGUAAUUGCUUUUGUGUUGCUAAAAAGUUGUUGUGGUAUCCGACAUAGCUUUUGCUAAGUGAAUGCUAGGCAGUUACUGUAUGUGUGCUAUGAUGUUGGAGGUGGUUGCUCAGGUGGCUGCUGUGGUACCCUAUGUGUAAUGUUCAUUCAUUCUUAUGGGGAAAAUGUUAAAAAGUAGAAAGUAAUGGUUGGUACAGUGUUGCAAGAUGGUUCUGAUGGUAAUAAGAGGGGGUUGCUUUUGUGUUGCUAAGUGGUUGUUGUGGUAUCCCAGGUGGCUGCUUAUUUGUUUCUAAGUGGAGGGUAGGCAGUUAAUGUUGUGUCUUGGUGGUUGCUACGAUGUUGCAAGAUGGAAAAAAAGGUGUUGUGGUAUCUGACAUAGCUUUUGCUAAGUGGAUGCUAGGCAGUUACUGUAUGCAUGCUAUGAUGUUGGAGGUGGUUGCUCAGGUGGCUGCUUAUUUGUUUCUAAGUGGAGGGUAGGCAGUUAAUGUUGUGUCUUGGUGGUUGCUACGAUGUUGCAAGAUGGAAAAAAAGGUGUUGUGGUAUCCGACAUAGCUUUUGCUAAGUGAAUGCUAGGCAGUUACUGUAUGUGUGCUAUGAUGUUGGAGGUGGUUGCUCAGGUGGCUGCUGUGGUACCCUAUGUGUAAUGUUCAUUCAUUCUUAUGGGGAAAUGUUAAAACGUAAGCAGUAUCAACACACUUACAAAACCUUACAGGUUAUUCUAUGGUAUUUGUGUGAUUAAUAACUCACUUGUAUCACUAUUGUU